UACUAGCUAAUGUAGCCGUGAGCCACUGGCUACCCUCAGGCAAAGAUGUUGAGUAAACUACAGAUGUCAGCCAUCACAGAUACCAACUGGAGAAGUUUCCUUGGCCUCACCUUUCUACAGUGUGGUCAUUCAGCUCGGCCAGGCCCUGAGCAGAGCCAAUAAUGGACACUGCAUAGAUUCCUAAUGAAGAUGUGGAGACCAGAGAAAAGCAUCCAGCACAGGGGAUGACAGUUGCCAUAGCAACCACAUAACGCAGUGAGAGGAGGCGGCCAUUUUGGAGCUCCUCUAUCAGCUGGCCUUUAAAUGGAUUCAUGAGCAUCAGCCACAUCAUCUCCAUUCCUUCAGCUCCUCGGUCCUUUCUUCCAUCCCCCAACAUCUGCAGCGCCACACAUGAGAUGGACCAGAGGCAGGAGCAAAGCUUCACUGAGACCGCUGCAGUCCUGCGCACACUGACCAGAAGCCCCACCGCUAACACCU